rnacentral:rRNA from 1 species
AGGACGAACGCUUGCGACGUGCCUAAGAAAUGCAAGUCGAACGGGGUAGCAAUACCUAGUGGCGAACGGUCGCGUAACACGUGGGCAACCUGCCCUGAAGCGGGGGACAACAACUCGAAAGAGUUGCUAAUACCGCAUGUGUAUCGGGAUGGCAUCAUCCAGGAUACAAAGCCGCAAGGCACUUCAGGAUGGGCCCGCGGCCUAUCAGCUAGUUGGUGAGGUAACGGCCCACCAAGGCUUCGACGGGUAGCUGGUCUGAGAGGACGAUCAGCCGGAUUGGGACUGAGAUACGGCCCAGACUCCUACGGGGGCAGCAAUUAGGAAUCUUGCACAAUGGGCGAAAGCCUGAUGCAGCGACGUCGCGUGAGGGAUGAAGUCUUUCGGGACGUAAACCUCUUUUAUCGGGGAAGAAAAAAUGAACGGUACCCGAUGAAUAAGCCCGGCUAACUACGUGCCAGCAGCCGC